UACGUAGGGUGCGAGCGUUGUCCGGAAUUAUUGGGCGUAAAGGGCUCGUAGGCGGUUUGUCGCGUCGGGAGUGAAAAUCCAGGGCUUAACUCUGGACUGGCUUCCGAUACGGGCAGACUGGAGGUAUGCAGGGGAGAACGGAAUUCCUGGUGUAGCGGUGAAAUGCGCAGAUAUCAGGAGGAACACCGGUGGCGAAGGCGGUUCUCUGGACAGUUCCUGACGCUGAGGCACGAAGGUCAGGGGAGCAAACGGG
rnacentral:rRNA from 1 species